rnacentral:rRNA from 2 species
AGCGUACACGGUGGAUGCCCUGGCAGUCAGAGGCGAUGAAGGACGUGCUAAUCUGCGAUAAGCGUCGGUAAGGUGAUAUGAACCGUUAUAACCGGCGAUUUCCGAAUGGGGAAACCCAGUGUGUUUCGACACACUAUCAUUAACUGAAUCCAUAGGUUAAUGAGGCGAACCGGGGGAACUGAAACAUCUAAGUACCCCGAGGAAAAGAAAUCAACCGAGAUUCCCCCAGUAGCGGCGAGCGAACGGGGAGCAGCCCAGAGCCUGAAUCAGUGUGUGUGUUAGUGGAAGCGUCUGGAAAGGCGCGCGAUACAGGGUGACAGCCCCGUACACAAAAAUGCACAUGCUGUGAGCUCGAUGAGUAGGGCGGGACACGUGGUAUCCUGUCUGAAUAUGGGGGGACCAUCCUCCAAGGCUAAAUACUCCUGACUGACCGAUAGUGAACCAGUACCGUGAGGGAAAGGCGAAAAGAACCCCGGCGAGGGGAGUGAAAAAGAACCUGAAACCGUGUACGUACAAGCAGUGGGAGCACGCUUAGGCGUGUGACUGCGUACCUUUUGUAUAAUGGGUCAGCGACUUAUAUUCUGUAGCAAGGUUAACCGAAUAGGGGAGCCGAAGGGAAACCGAGUCUUAACUGGGCGUUAAGUUGCAGGGUAUAGACCCGAAACCCGGUGAUCUAGCCAUGGGCAGGUUGAAGGUUGGGUAACACUAACUGGAGGACCGAACCGACUAAUGUUGAAAAAUUAGCGGAUGACUUGUGGCUGGGGGUGAAAGGCCAAUCAAACCGGGAGAUAGCUGGUUCUCCCCGAAAGCUAUUUAGGUAGCGCCUCGUGAAUUCAUCUCCGGGGGUAGAGCACUGUUUCGGCAAGGGGGUCAUCCCGACUUACCAACCCGAUGCAAACUGCGAAUACCGGAGAAUGUUAUCACGGGAGACACACGGCGGGUGCUAACGUCCGUCGUGAAGAGGGAAACAACCCAGACCGCCAGCUAAGGUCCCAAAGUCAUGGUUAAGUGGGAAACGAUGUGGGAAGGCCCAGACAGCCAGGAUGUUGGCUUAGAAGCAGCCAUCAUUUAAAGAAAGCGUAAUAGCUCACUGGUCGAGUCGGCCUGCGCGGAAGAUGUAACGGGGCUAAACCAUGCACCGAAGCUGCGGCAGCGACGCUGAUGCGUUGUUGGGUAGGGGAGCGUUCUGUAAGCCUGCGAAGGUGUGCUGUGAGGCAUGCUGGAGGUAUCAGAAGUGCGAAUGCUGACAUAAGUAACGAUAAAGCGGGUGAAAAGCCCGCUCGCCGGAAGACCAAGGGUUCCUGUCCAACGUUAAUCGGGGCAGGGUGAGUCGACCCCUAAGGCGAGGCCGAAAGGCGUAGUCGAUGGGAAACAGGUUAAUAUUCCUGUACUUGGUGUUACUGCGAAGGGGGGACGGAGAAGGCUAUGUUGGCCGGGCGACGGUUGUCCCGGUUUAAGCGUGUAGGCUGGUUUUCCAGGCAAAUCCGGAAAAUCAAGGCUGAGGCGUGAUGACGAGGCACUACGGUGCUGAAGCAACAAAUGCCCUGCUUCCAGGAAAAGCCUCUAAGCAUCAGGUAACAUCAAAUCGUACCCCAAACCGACACAGGUGGUCAGGUAGAGAAUACCAAGGCGCUUGAGAGAACUCGGGUGAAGGAACUAGGCAAAAUGGUGCCGUAACUUCGGGAGAAGGCACGCUGAUAUGUAGGUGAAGUCCCUCGCGGAUGGAGCUGAAAUCAGUCGAAGAUACCAGCUGGCUGCAACUGUUUAUUAAAAACACAGCACUGUGCAAACACGAAAGUGGACGUAUACGGUGUGACGCCUGCCCGGUGCCGGAAGGUUAAUUGAUGGGGUUAGCGCAAGCGAAGCUCUUGAUCGAAGCCCCGGUAAACGGCGGCCGUAACUAUAACGGUCCUAAGGUAGCGAAAUUCCUUGUCGGGUAAGUUCCGACCUGCACGAAUGGCGUAAUGAUGGCCAGGCUGUCUCCACCCGAGACUCAGUGAAAUUGAACUCGCUGUGAAGAUGCAGUGUACCCGCGGCAAGACGGAAAGACCCCGUGAACCUUUACUAUAGCUUGACACUGAACAUUGAGCCUUGAUGUGUAGGAUAGGUGGGAGGCUUUGAAGUGUGGACGCCAGUCUGCAUGGAGCCGACCUUGAAAUACCACCCUUUAAUGUUUGAUGUUCUAACGUUGACCCGUAAUCCGGGUUGCGGACAGUGUCUGGUGGGUAGUUUGACUGGGGCGGUCUCCUCCUAAAGAGUAACGGAGGAGCACGAAGGUUGGCUAAUCCUGGUCGGACAUCAGGAGGUUAGUGCAAUGGCAUAAGCCAGCUUGACUGCGAGCGUGACGGCGCGAGCAGGUGCGAAAGCAGGUCAUAGUGAUCCGGUGGUUCUGAAUGGAAGGGCCAUCGCUCAACGGAUAAAAGGUACUCCGGGGAUAACAGGCUGAUACCGCCCAAGAGUUCAUAUCGACGGCGGUGUUUGGCACCUCGAUGUCGGCUCAUCACAUCCUGGGGCUGAAGUAGGUCCCAAGGGUAUGGCUGUUCGCCAUUUAAAGUGGUACGCGAGCUGGGUUUAGAACGUCGUGAGACAGUUCGGUCCCUAUCUGCCGUGGGCGCUGGAGAACUGAGGGGGGCUGCUCCUAGUACGAGAGGACCGGAGUGGACGCAUCACUGGUGUUCGGGUUGUCAUGCCAAUGGCACUGCCCGGUAGCUAAAUGCGGAAGAGAUAAGUGCUGAAAGCAUCUAAGCACGAAACUUGCCCCGAGAUGAGUUCU